UACGGAGGGUGCAAGCGUUGUUCGGAAUCACUGGGCGUAAAGGGUGUGUAGGCGGUUGCUUAAGUUUGGUGUGAAAUCUCCCGGCUUAACUGGGAGGGUGCGCCGAAUACUGAGUGACUAGAGUGCGGGAGAGGAAAGUGGAAUUCCUGGUGUAGCGGUGAAAUGCGUAGAUAUCAGGAGGAACACCGGUGGUGUAGACGGCUUUCUGGACCGUAACUGACGCUGAGACACGAAAGCGUGGGUAGCAAACAGG
rnacentral:rRNA from 1 species